rnacentral:rRNA from 1 species
CGCCUUGCCAGCCCGCUCAGAACUUAAAGGAAUUGACGGGGCCCGCACAAGCGGUGGAGUAUGUGGUUUAAUUCGAUGCAACGCGAAGAACCUUACCUGGUCUUGACAUCCCGGAGACCCUUAGGAAACUAGGGGGUGCUUCCAUCUGGAAGAAUCUGGAGACAGGUGCUGCAUGGCUGUCGUCAGCUCGUGUCGUGAGAUGUUGGGUUAAGUCCCGCAACGAGCGCAACCCUUGCCUUUAGUUGCCAGCAGUUCGGCUGGGCACUCUAAAGGGACUGCCGGUGUUAAACCGGAGGAAGGUGGGGAUGACGUCAAGUCCUCAUGGCCUUUAUGACCAGGGCUACACACGUACUACAAUGGCCGAUACAAAGGGCAGCGACACUGCGAGGUGAAGCCAAUCCCGUAAAAUCGGUCUCAGUCCGGAUUGGAGUCUGCAACUCGACUCCAUGAAGUUGGAAUCGCUAGUAAUCGUGGAUCAGCAUGCCACGGUGAAUACGUUCCCGGGCCUU